UACAGAGGUCCCGAGCGUUGUUCGGAAUCACUGGGCGUAAAGCGCACGUAGGCGGACUCUUAAGUCAGGGGUGAAAUCCUGGAGCUCAACUCCAGAACUGCCUUUGAUACUGGGAGUCUUGAGUUCGGGAGAGGUGAGUGGAACUGCGAGUGUAGAGGUGAAAUUCGUAGAUAUUCGCAAGAACACCAGUGGCGAAGGCGGCUCACUGGCCCGAUACUGACGCUGAGGUGCGAAAGCGUGGGGAGCAAACAGG
rnacentral:rRNA from 1 species